rnacentral:rRNA from 1 species
AAGAGGAUACACCUGUUCCCAUUCCGAACACAGAAGUUAAGCUCUUUAGCGCCGAUGGUACUUGGUGGGAAGCUGCCUGGGAGAGUAGGACGUAGCCGCUUA